rnacentral:SRP_RNA from 4 species
GGGUCAGGUAGGGUGGGGAGGCUCGCCACCUCCUGUGACCUGCUUGGCGUAAUGCAGGCACCAGUAACCCCUAUUCCAUGGUUACUCCUGCCUAAAGGUCCUGACGGAUCGAUGAAGCCCGCCCAGUGGGGCUUGAUGGAUGUGGGCUUUCCUUCCGGAGGGAGGGAAAGUACCACAUUAGCCGGGGGAACCGACGAGGCCCGGAAGGGAGCAGUCGUGCCCGGACAUCAGCGUUCACUGGUCUACGGGCUGAGUGAGGUCAGGGUUUACCCUUUAGGCAGGCAGGCCAUGGAGUAGGGGAGCUGACCC